rnacentral:lncRNA from 1 species
AUCAUUAUUUUCGUCUAAUUAUUGGUUUAAUUAGAUAAAAAUUAAUACUUAAGGAUUCAAUUUAAAAAAAUAAAUAUUUAAAUAUUUAAUUAAAUAAAAAAUACAUAUUUAAGAGUCGAAUCUUAUUAUAUUUUUAUUAAUAAUUUUUUAUACUUAAGCCAACAAUAUUCUAUACCAUUCAAGAUAAUAAUUAAAAAAAAAUUGGUGCGAGGUGCUAAUUAGACUUUGUUGGGCCAAAUUGUUUGACAAUUAUCGAAUCAAGGUGCCGCAGCUUUGGCAACCAAAACCGGCGUGAUUUAAGUAAAAAAAUUGACUCCAAUCAUGUCACAGGACGUCUCAUUUCAAUCCAAGCGUGGUCUAAAUAAAUCUCAUAUUCUCUUCAUGGGUUUUGAUUUUUCAACUGACGAAUAAAAUUUUUCAAAACAAUAAGGUUUUUAAUUAGUUUUCAGACUUUAAGGACAUGGGAAGGAACACGAUAGACAAUAGGAAUGUGUGUCGAACAUUCAUUCACGUCCAAAAGACGUGGCAAAAAAUAUAAACGUGGACCCCAAUUUCUAACAUGUUUCUUAAUACUGUAAUAAAAAAUUAUUUUCUUAUACCGUAGCUCCUGGUUUUUGGGAGAGUAAAACUGGCGACUGGUUUUUGGUUUUUCUUGUUAGGGAUAAU